GAGGCCAGAGAGAAAAAUAUUGAGAAUUAUAGAGGUACAAUUGGUAAAGAGUUACUUGCUCUUGAACUUAUGAAUACUUGUUGUGCUAUCCAUAAGAUAUUUGUGAGGAAUAGAAAUCUCAACCCCAUUAAGAAACUUUAGUAUGUUUCUCGAUUUUUGAAUUUUUGGGCUAUGAAGUUCGAUAAAAUAGUAGGAGACACAAUUUGAUAAAAAUCCUAAUCAAGUUGUGAAUGUAAUCAUGAGUCAUCUGCUUAUAUUAUAUUC
rnacentral:lncRNA from 1 species